rnacentral:lncRNA from 1 species
AAAAACUCUUUCAAACAAAUUUGCUCAAAGUCUCAGACAAAGCUGAAACAAAAUCUGCUCAAAUCUCCUUCAUUAAAUGAUGAACGACUAUUGUAUCGUUCAAAAUUCCACGCUCUUAAUUUCAAACAUUAGAGAUAAAAAUCUUGCCCAAAGAACUCUAGAAUCUGCCUAUAAAUACCAAGCCAUUGCAGUCAUUAAGGACAAGGUGGGAAAUCCCAAAAAAACUCAGUUCAUAUCAUACUCAGCUUUUUUUUAAUCUCAAUCUUACAAUCUGUGGAAAUUUUCUCAAUAUUUAGUCUCCAUUUUUGUAUUCUUGAUAAUUAAGGAGUAGUUGAUCUGAGCCCUCAAAGCCUACAGUUCGCUGCACACAAAAAAAUCACUAACUUUAAUGAUCUUUCCUCCUGUUCUCUUUCUUAGUUUCGGAUUCAAAGUUAAUAUUUGUUACGGCUGAAAAAUACGUGUUUCAGUUUUGUUCUAGAUGAAAGAAACAUUGUUGUAGAAUUCACCCAUGUAUAGAAAUCAUAUCCUUGAUAAGGGAGAAAUAGAAAACCUUUUAAUCUGAAUAAUUUAGCGAAUGUGAUAGUACUUAAGCUUAUUUUACUGCUCACUUAAGAGCAUGCAAAAGGAAAACUAUAUAUCAUGCUAGUGUCAUGAUUAUGUCUUUAGAAUGUUUGUUUGACUUCCCUUUAAGUAAUUAGAAUAAAUCCAGAUUAUCUUUUAAUAUUAUUUUAUGAAAAUAUUUGUUGUUAGGCAUAGUUAAGUAUGUGCUCUUUCAAUUUGCUACUUUGAGUGAUUAGAAAGAUAAUUCUUUAAGUUUCAAAUGGCAUAGAAUGGGCCAUCCUGAAUGCCUAUGGACAAUAAAAGAUAUGAAAUCGUUCCUGCUUUGGUAUCAAUUCUCCUAGCUGUGUCUCUUCAUAUCUUUUAUGAAUAGAAUAAUCCUUCUUUUUCUAAUUUUUCUUUUUUUUCCCUUUCUUUGCAUAUAUACUUGGAGCAAAAAAAUGGAGUCUCACUCGAGACUUAGUAAUACCCGAGCAUGAAAUCAUCACAUCCUAUAUCCUUUAACCGCAUCAGAAAAGAAGAAAACAAGCGAGAAAAUCGCAUGGGGGUGCCAAUGGUAUCUUUCCUCUAUUUUAUUUAUCAUUUGUUCUAUUUAACUCUUCUAUGAUUUCUAUGUUGAAAUUAACACUCAUAAUAAGAUUAUUAGUAAAAUUUUACUUAAUCACUUAGGGUCUUUCCUCUAUCUCAUGAUAGAAGUAAUUGUUUUAUCACAUAAAAUAAGACAUUUUGGUCUCAGCUAACUUCCUUCCUAAAAGCAACAUAGUUGUUCGAAUUUCUUCAAAUCUUGCUUUCAAAAAUUGUCACUUUUCAUGACAACUUUUUUAGUCAAACGUACUACCCCUUUUAUUAAUCUCCUUAAUUAUUAUUCUUACUCUCAGCUUUAAUUAAUUUUAGUCAGGUCGAUUAACCAUUUUAAAUGAAUUUUAAAGGGUGCCUUGAAAACCUUCCAUUUAGAUUAGUUGAACCCUUACCUUGGAAUCUCUAAAGUUUUGCAGUGUAAAUAUUAGUAAAAUAGGUAUCCUAAUUCACCGUUAAAAUAAUUAGGUGGCGACUCUAAUAAUGAAUUCAACCAUCAGAAUUAUCAAUAUAUUAUACUCUAGUUUGACCCGUGUUAAAAUGGGGUAUAACACGUAAAUGUCUACGACCGUCUCCAGUGUAUAAAUGGCUACGGCCAUUUUCAAUGCGCAAAUGGCUAAGGCCAUCGCCGCCAACAGUCAACCUAGUUCGACUACGACGAACAAAUGAUUCGACAACAGUCAGAAUCAACCAUAUGGCCAAUGCCAUCAACAAGUUAUAACCAAAGGUCAUCAACUUAACUCUGGGUAAGGCCAUCAACUUCACCAUGGCUAAGGCCAUCGCCGCCCGCAGUCGACCUAGUUCAACUACGGCGAGCAAAUAAUUCGACGACAGUCGAAAUCAACCAUAUGGCCAAGGCCAUCAACAAGUUAUGACCAAAGGUCAUCAACUUAACACUGGCCGAGGCCAUCCACUUCACCAUGGCUAAGGCCAUCGCCGCCCACAGUCGACUUAGUUCGACUACGGCGAGCAAAUAAUUCGACGACAGUCGAAAUCAACCAUAUGGCUAAGCCCAUCAACAAUUUAUGACCAAAGGUCAUCAACUAACUCUAGCCAAGGCAUCAACUUCACCAUGGCUAAGGCCAUCGCCGCCCACAGUCGACCUAGUUCGACUACGCCGAGCAAAUGAUUCGGCGACUGUCGAAAUCAACCAUAUGGCCAAGGCCAUCAACAAGUUAUGACCAAAGUUCAUCAACUUAACUCUGGCCAAGGCUAUCGACUUCAUCAUGGAUAAGGCCAUCGUCGCCCACAGCCGACCUAGUUCAACUAUUGCAAGCAAAUGAUUCGACGAUAGUCGAAAUAAACCAUAUGGACAAGUCCAUCAACAAGUUAUGACCAAAGGUCAUCAACUUAACUCUGGACAAGGCCAUCAACUUCAUCACAGCUAAGGCCUAGUUUGAUUGUGGCAUUAAGCACGUGAACGUGAAGCAAAAACGCAAUAAAAUCCCAACAAAUAAAUGAGCGUCCGCUCUACGGAGACGAAACACAAAAAAGAAAGCAAGAAAGCAAAGGAAAAAGUAGCAGAAAAUUAUACUCCAUUAUCUCCAAAAUAUAUACAUGUACAUCUGAGCCUGAAAAGGGCCCCUGUUACAUACAAGAAAUAUACAUAUAUACACAAGCCCUAAGAGCCUUCGCCGCUUCGUCCACCAUGCGCUGUUUGCCUGCCAUUUGGUCUGUCAUCGCCCACAGGAGGGUAAGCCCUAGAAAUCCAAGAGCCAGACUCUAGACGAUUGACGUCUUCACAGUUACAGCCCGUCCUAUUGGGGGAAUCUAAGCAAUAAACACAAGUGGCAUGAGCGGUGCGGGCUAAGCGCUUCUGCUCCUCAACCUCCGCCUUAGUGGCUCGACCAACAGAGAAAACUUCCUCGAGCACGACUAGUGUAGCCUCGGCAUACACUCACAUUUUGUGCGUCUCAUGAUGCAUGUCCUCUUCGGGCUUUAAUGAGGCAGCCCGCUCAAGGGUCUCAACUUCAACCGCCUUGGCGCCAAGCUCAGCAAUUAAAGCAAUGACUCUGGCCUGCAACUGAUCCGCCUAUGCCGCUACUGUAAUGACCUGACCCGUAAUCCCAUGAAUUAUCGCUCGUUUUCCCCGUUUUAUGCUGUUAUAUGUUUCAAUAUAUGUAUUGGGAGAGUUUGAAGUAAUUCGGAUGGAGUUUGGAUAGAAAUGAGACAAUUAGUCUCUUUAUGAGAAGGUUAGUUGGAACUGCCUGUUUUCCCCGUUUUAUGUUGUUAUAUGUUUCAAUAUAUGUAUUGGGAGAGUUUGAAGUAAUUCGGAUGGAGUUUGGAUAGAAAUGAGACAAUUAGUCUUUUUAUGAGAAGGUUAUUUUGGAAACGUCAACCGAAAGUUGACUUAUGAAUUAGAUGGAUCGGAAUAGAUUUUCGAAGAUCCGACUAGUUUUGUACGGUGAUUUGUGACAUAGGAAUGAAAUCGGAACUGAAUUUGGAGGUCCGGUGUAGAAUUAGGCUUGAAUUGGCUAAGUUAGAAUAUCCGAUGAUUCAACUAGUUUCGGACGAUGAUUUAUGACUCAGGAGAGAAAUUAGAACUGAAUUUGGUGGUCCGGUGUAGAAUUAGACUUGAAUUGGCUAAGUUAGAAUUUUGGCGAAGUCUGGUUGAUAGGUGAUAUUUUGGUCCGGGAGUCGAAAUGAAAUUCCAACAGUUGCAGUAGCUCUGUUAGGUGAUUUUGGAUAUGCGUGCAAAUUUUGAGAUCAUUCGGAGGUAUUUAGGUCGGGUUUUGGACCAAAUGUAAGUUUCGAAAGUUUUAGUUUAACUUAAGCUUGAAUCCGUGAUAAUUUGAUGGUUUUAAUGUUUAUGAUAGUGUUUUUAUGCUAUGAGCAAGUUUGAAUGAAGUAAUAGAACAUAUCUGUGCAUUUGGUUGGGAUCCCGAGGGAAUCGAGGUGAUGUCGGAUGAUGAAAACGAGAAUUUUUGAAGUUGCGACAGGUAUGUUGUAUGCGGCUUCUGGUAUUUCCGCAAAAGCGGAAGAAGCACCGCACAAGCGGCUACCGCAACAGCGGUAAGAGACUGCAGAAGUGAUCAUAGACUGUUGAGGGAGACCGCAAAAGCGGUCAAUGGGAUCGCAUAGGCGGAGACCGCGAAAGCGGUUUAAGACCACAGAAGCGGUCCUAGUUGACUUAAAGGAAACUACAAAAGCGGUUUAUUGACCGCAAAAGCGGCAACGCAGAAGCGGUCUAGUGGUCGCAGAAGCGGUCUAGUGGUUGCAGAAGCGAAAAUUGCAUAGGGUUUUAAUAAAACAGUGUUUGCAAAUUUCAUAAGUUAAGAAAAUACUUUUGACUUCCGGAAGAGACGAUUUGUGGGCGAUCUUAAGAGGCUUUUGAGGGUUUCCUUCAGGUAAUGAUUCUUGGACUCGGAGUAUGCCUCUAUGGUGUAAAAUAGUAGAUUAAACAUUAAAAUUCAAGGUUUUUAAGGUUAAAAAUGGUGGUCAGGGCUUGAAACCUAAGAGAGAGUAAAGUGGUGAUUUAAGAGGGUAAACGAACUCCGUUUUUGAUAAACUUUAUAUGUACGGACUCGUGGUGAGACGAGGAAUCCAAAGAUGUAAUUUUCAGAAUUUUCGAGAAGUGGGCUCGGGGCUCAGAUUUUACCAACUUCGUGAUUUUUAGCGUUUUUCGAAUUAUUUCGAUUGGGUUAUGUUUAUUUAGCCUAUAAUAACCUAUUUGUUGUGGUUUUGACUAGAUUCGACGCUCGUAGAUGGAGUUUCAAAGGGAAAAGGCAUUGUUUCUGAAAUUGACUAAUUAAAUUAUAUUCACCCUAAUAAUUGGAAACUAGCAAAGAAUCAGAUUGAAUCUAUUAUGUGACUUACAUGCAUACUAUGGACUGAGGAUGGCUCGGGCUGCACGCCGCAGCGGUUAUACAUUGAUAUUGCGCUUGGGCUGAAGGAGCCCCUCUGGAGUCUGUACACACCCCCAGUGAGCGUCGUCGACAAUAAUUAAAUAUGGAUGACUCGGGCUGCACGCCGCAGCGUAUUCAUGUGCAUUGCAUUGCAUUUAUCUGAUACUUGAUUGCUAUUUUGAUAUUGUUUUGCUAUUAGUUCGUAGCUAAGGAAUAGGAUUGUUAGAUUUAGCUUUAUUUUGUGGCACUUCGUGGUUUUCUUACUUUCAGACAUUUUUCUAUGCUUAUUACUCACUUAGUCGGUAGUACUCACCCCUACUCCCUACAUCUUGUAUGCAGAUUCAGGUACAUCGGAGGCUUAGCUGACACUCAUAGUCUCCAGAGAUUUCUAAAAUCGUUGAUGUAGCUGCAUGACGUUCGCAGGACCUGGUUGCUCUUUAUUUUUCCAGUUUAUUAUUAUUUCAUACAUUCCAAAUCUUAUUAUUUCCAUUCAGAUAUUAUUAUCUAGUUUUGUUUAGAGGCUGCUGACUCGUGACCCCAGAUCUGUGGGAGUGAUUAUUCAGAUUUCGUAAUAUACUAUUAUUAUUAUCUGAUUACUAUUCUGAAUUACUAUAAUAUUCUUAAACUGUCGGUUUUAAGACUCAGUAUUUAAUAGUAAGUGAUUGUUGGUCAGCCUUACCUAGCUUUAGGGAUGUGUGCCAUCAUGACCGGGUUUGGGUCUUGACAGCUACCCAACGACUUAUCUUCAGUUCCUCCUCUUUUGACUGAAGGGGAGUUUCCAGCUCGAUGUUUCGAGCCAAAGUAGCCAUCAGCUGCUCAUCAACCUCCUCCAACUCGGCCACCCCUCUUUACUAGAGCUUCCGAUUCUUCAAGACCCUCACGGAACAUCCAAAACUAAG